AGCGAACGCUGGCGGCAGGCCUAACACAUGCAAGUCGAACGAACCUUUCGGGGUUAGUGGCGGACGGGGGUGUAACACGUGGGAACGUGCCCUUAGGUUCGGAAUAACUCAGGGAAACUUGUGCCAAUACCGAAUGUGCCCUUCGGGGGAAAGAUUAAUCGCCUUUAGAGCGGCCCGCGUCUGAUUAGCUAGUUGGUUGAGGUAAUGGCUCACCAAGGCGACGAUCAGUAGCUGGUCUGAGAGGAUGAUCAGCCACAUUGGGACUGAGACACGGCCCGAACUCCUACGGGAAGCAGCAGUGGGGAAUCGUGCGCAAUGGGCGAAAGUCUGACGCAGCCAUGCCGCGUGAAUGAUGAAGGUCUUAGGAUUGUAAAAUUCUUUCACCGGGGACGAUAAUGACGGUACCCGGAGAAGAAGCCCCGGCUAACUUCGUG
rnacentral:rRNA from 1 species